GACGAACGCUGGCGGCGUGCUUAACACAUGCAAGUCGAACGGUGAAGGGACCAGCUUGCUGGUUCUGGAUGAGUGGCGAACGGGUGAGUAACACGUGAGUAACCUGCCCCCUUCUUCUGGAUAACCGCAUGAAAGUGUGGCUAAUACGGGAUAUUCUGGGUCUGUCGCAUGGCGUGCCCGGGAAAGAUAUUGCUUCGGUGGGGGAUGGGCUCGCGGCCUAUCAGCUUGUUGGUGGGGUGAUGGCCUACCAAGGCGGUGACGGGUAGCCGGCCUGAGAGGGUGGACGGUCACACUGGGACUGAGACACGGCCCAGACUCCUACGGGAGGCAGCAGUGGGGAAUAUUGCACAAUGGGCGCAAGCCUGAUGCAGCGACGCCGCGUGAGGGAUGGAGGCCUUCGGGUUGUAAACCUCGUUCGCCAGUGAAGCAGGCCUGCUCCUUGUGGGUGGGUUGACGGUAGCUGGAUAAGAAGCGCCGGCUAACUACGUG
rnacentral:rRNA from 1 species